rnacentral:rRNA from 1 species
UAACACGUGGGUGACCUGCCUUCGAGCGGGGGAUAACGUCCCGAAAGGGACGCUAAUACCGCAUAACAUCCCGCCUUUUAAGAGGUGGAGAUCAAAGCCGGGGAUUCGCAAGAACCUGGCACUUGAAGAGGGGCCCGCGCCUGAUUAGCUAGUUGGUGGGGUAAUGGCCUACCAAGGCAACGAUCAGUAUCCGGCCUGAGAGGGCGGACGGACACACUGGGACUGAGACACGGCCCAG